GACGAACGCUGGUGGCGUGCUUAACACAUGCAAGUCGAACGGAAAGGCCCUGCUUUUGUGGGGUGCUCGAGUGGCGAACGGGUGAGUAACACGUGAGUAACCUGCCCUUGACUUUGGGAUAACUUCAGGAAACUGGGGCUAAUACCGGAUAGGAGCUCCUGCUGCAUGGUGGGGGUUGGAAAGUUUCGGCGGUUGGGGAUGGACUCGCGGCUUAUCAGCUUGUUGGUGGGGUAGUGGCUUACCAAGGCUUUGACGGGUAGCCGGCCUGAGAGGGUGACCGGCCACAUUGGGACUGAGAUACGGCCCAGACUCCUACGGGAGGCAGCAGUGGGGAAUAUUGCACAAUGGGCGGAAGCCUGAUGCAGCAACGCCGCGUGCGGGAUGACGGCCUUCGGGUUGUAAACCGCUUUCGCCUGUGACGAAGCGUGAGUGACGGUAAUGGGUAAAGAAGCACCGGCUAACUACGU
rnacentral:rRNA from 1 species